rnacentral:rRNA from 1 species
AGUGAACGCUGGCGGUAGGCCUAACACAUGCAAGUCGAACGGCAGCACAGUAAGAGCUUGCUCUUACGGGUGGCGAGUGGCGGACGGGUGAGGAAUACAUCGGAAUCUACUUUUUCGUGGGGGAUAACGUAGGGAAACUUACGCUAAUACCGCAUACGACCUACGGGUGAAAGCAGGGGAUCUUCGGACCUUGCGCGAUUGAAUGAGCCGAUGUCGGAUUAGCUAGUUGGCGGGGUAAAGGCCCACCAAGGCGACGAUCCGUAGCUGGUCUGAGAGGAUGAUCAGCCACACUGGAACGGAGACACGGUCCAGACUCCUACGGGAGGCAGCAGUGGGGAAUAUUGGACAAUGGGCGCAAGCCUGAUCCAGCCAUACCGCGUGGGUAAAGAAGGCCUUCGGGUUGUAAAGCCCUUUUGUUGGGAAAGAAAAGCAGCAGGUUAAUACCCCGCUGUUCUGACGGUACCCAACGAAUAAGCACCGGCUAACUUCGUG